rnacentral:rRNA from 1 species
GCAGGCCUAACACAUGCAAGUCGAGCGGAAACGAUCCUAGCUUGCUAGGAGGCGUCGAGCGGCGGACGGGUGAGUAACACGUGAGAAUCUGCCCAUUAGAGGGGGAUAACCUGGGGAAACCCAGGCUAAUACCGCAUAAUCCCUACGGGGGAAAGCAGGGGAUCUUCGGACCUUGUGCUGAUGGAUGAGCUCGCGUCGGAUUAGCUUGUUGGUGAGGUAAUGGCUCACCAAGGCGACGAUCCGUAGCUGGUCUUAGAGGAUGAUCAGCCACACCGGGACUGAGACACGGCCCGGACUCCUACGGGAGGCAGCAGUGGGGAAUCUUGGACAAUGGGGGCAACCCUGAUCCAGCCAUGCCGCGUGUGUGAAGAAGGCCUUCGGGUUGUAAAGCACUUUCAGUAGGGAGGAAGGCUUAUCCUUAAUACGGAUGAGUACUUGACGUUACCUACAGAAGAAGCACCGGCUA